GACGGAGGGUGCAAGCGUUGUUCGGAUUGACUGGGCGUAAAGGGCGUGUAGGCGGUCGGCCAAGUCUGAUGUGAAAGCCCGAGGCUCAGCCUCGGAAGUGCGUCGGAAACUAGUCGGCUGGAGCGCGAUAGAGGAGGGUGGAAUUCCUGGUGUAGCGGUGAAAUGCGUAGAUAUCGGGAGGAACACCAGUGGCGAAGGCGACUUCCUGGCCUGUUCUUGACGCUGAGGCGCGAAAGCUAGGGGAGCAAACGGG
rnacentral:rRNA from 1 species